rnacentral:rRNA from 1 species
GUUGAUCUCAAAUCAGGNAGGACUAC